AUUGAACGCUGGCGGCAUGCCUUACACAUGCAAGUCGAACGGCAGCGGGGGAGAAGCUUGCUUUUCCUGCCGGCGAGUGGCGAACGGGUGAGUAAUACAUUGGAACGUGCCCUGUAGUGGGGGAUAACUAGUCGAAAGAUUAGCUAAUACCGCAUACGACCUGAGGGUGAAAGUGGGGGACCGCAAGGCCUCAUGCUAUAGGAGCGGCCGAUGUCUGAUUAGCUAGUUGGUGGGGUAAAGGCCUACCAAGGCGACGAUCAGUAGCUGGUCUGAGAGGACGGUCAGGCAAACUGGGACUGAGACACGGCCCAGAAUCCUACGGGAGGCAGCAGUGGGGAAUUUUGGACAAUGGGCGAAAGCCUGAGCCAGCAAUGCCGGGGGUGUGAAGAAGGCCUUCGGGUUGUAAAGCACUUUUGUCCGGAAAGAAAUGGCUCUGGUUAAUACCUGGGGUCGAUGACGGUACCGGAAGAAUAAGGACCGGCUAACUACGUGCCAGCCGCCGCGGUAA
rnacentral:rRNA from 1 species